UGCCCCUUAACUCAGUGGUCAGAGUUUUCGGCUGUUAACCGAAGAGCCCUUGGUUCGAAUCCAAGAGGGGCAG
rnacentral:tRNA from 1 species